rnacentral:rRNA from 1 species
CGAAACCUACGGGGCGCAGCAGUGGGGAAUAUUGCACAAUGGGGGAAACCCUGAUGCAGCGACGCCGCGUGAGUGAAGAAGUAUUUCGAUACGUAAAGCUCUAUCAGCAGGGAAGAAAAUGACGGUACCUGACUAAGAAGCCCCGGCUAACUACGUGCCAGCAGCCGCGGUAAUACGUAGGGGGCAAGCGUUAUCCGGAUUUACUGGGUGUAAAGGGAGCGUAGACGGCAGCGCAAGUCUGGAGUGAAAUCCCAUGGCUUAACCAUGGAACUGCUUUGGAAACUGUGCAGCUGGAGGGCAG